rnacentral:lncRNA from 1 species
AUUCACAACAUGGGAACGAAGUGUGAUGGGAGGAAAGAGACUUGGGAUUAUUUUCCCUUUACUAACCAUUGUCUACAUACAGAUUCGAGGACUCUGAAAUCUUUCUUUACAGCUUGGCCUAAGGGCAAAUUUACAUUUUUUACUUAGAUCAUAUUUUUUCCUUCAUGUUGAUGACCACAGAGGGUGAAGGCAGCUGCAACUUGGUGCUGAAAGGCCUCAAUGCUUUAGAAAUUGAUGGAAAUGGGGAAGAAAGCCAUGGGAGCUGCUCCCUCCUGUGGAGCAGCUGUUGACAGAAGCAGAUCAGCCCCCACUCAGAACUGCAGCCACGGCACAGAGACCAGGGGCCACUUUUAUCAUCAGCUCUGCAUGAUGGCCAAGGGACCCUACUGCCAUGGGUGGGCACAGAGCUCGAUUUCCCUCCUUGGAAGGACCAGCACAUCAAAGAGGAUGCAGCAAGAGAUGGUAGAGGAAGUGUAAGAGAAAAUGCCAGUCACUGUGCUGCAGCAGAAUGAUUUGUUCCACUGCAAGAAUUAUGCAAAGUCAUUGCAUUCAGUGAACCAUGAUGGGAAUGGAUCGGGCAGUUCAUGCCUCUCAAAGCUGGGGCUGACACUGCCAGAUUGGCAUGGGGUUAUCAAUGCCAUAAGUUUUAAGGUUGUUUUUGCCUUGCGAAAGGCUGGAAUUAAAUUGCUGGAGAAAGAAAAUUUUAGAUUCUGGAGUAGAGUUUCAUGGCACAAGGCUGAUCCUGGAAAUUGCUCAGCUAAAACUGCAGAGACAGGUAAAUAGCAGCACACAAGGGCAUGGAUGUGUGCAUCCGCUAUGCUCAUGUGCCCUCCUGUAUCCUCCUCCUUUGAAGCCCUGUGCUGCCUCUGGUUGUGUUCAUUUGCUCCUGAAAACAUCCAUACAACAGAACGGGACCACAGCAUACACUUGCUGUGACCCGGCUCAGGUCUUCACAGGCACAGGUGAGCUCAGGUAUCCUCCCCACCUGCAGCUCUUCCUUUGCUGCCGUCUCAGCCUCCAUGCUGAUGUCUCCUGCAGACGUCUCACUUCAUCUCUCACAUCACUGAACAUCCUCAGAGGACACAGUCCUGUGCUUAUGCUUAUACUGUUUAGUUUCUGUGCCUAAGGGAAUGCUGCACUUGCUGAGCAGUCUGGCAGGGAAAACAGCAGUAAGUACUUCAGCUAAUAAGGAGCCAGAAAAUGCAGAUAUGCAAGCAACCACCUUCCAUCUUUUAGCCCAGCCUAUCUUACCACAUUUCAGACUGCACAUGACACCAAGUGAGACUGGUUUCAGGGAGGCUAACCAAUGAUACUGAAUACAGGUUGUUUGUGUAAACACAUUAAUACAUCAUUACUAAUAUUAACCUGGAUUUUACUGGUGCUGCUGAGCCUUAUCUGAAUAGCUACCCUCCAAGCAGACAUGUUCUCUGCCCCACACAGCACAUGAGCAGCAGAUCCCACUUACUCAGGUUCACAUGUCAACUGGGCUGGCUGUAAGGAAGAGCAGGGAACAGUCAAUGCAAUGACACUUCUCAAAGAAGAAUGUGAACUGAUGGAGCACUGAAGCUCAGGUUCUGGCUAGGAGCAGCUAUGAAAAUGACUAUGCUAAAAGAUCAGUGUGGAAAAGUAAAGAGGAAUCCUAUUUGCAGAACUCAAAUUCAUGCCCUCACAUGUAAUGGAAGCAGCUUUUACUUCAAGCGGUGAAUGCUAGGAGGAGCAGAAAGCAGAAAACACUGGCUUUGGCUUUUGGACACCCAUAAAUAACCAAUCAACCUGCCCAGCCCAAGCAGCACCGGCACAUUUAUCUCAGAGCACAGACAUGGCAGAGUUUCCUGGCUACACUGCAUUGUACUCCACAGGACAUGGAGGGAGAGGAGCUGGCCACAGAGCAGCUACUUACGUGUAGGCCUUUGGGCCAACAGCAAGGUCCUUUUUCUUUUCCUGUACUUCUGGCCCCACUGCCCGCUCCUUGGGACUCUGCAGCCUUGCAUGCAGGGGGAUGAACAGCAGCGGGGCAGCCACCUUACCAAGGGCUGCAGUCACCUCCAGUUCUGCAUGGGGCCAUCAUGUGACCCAUGAGAUGUGGGGUGUUCUUGAGGUACUUCACACCCAGCACAAGCCAGAAACAGGGCUAACCUGUAUAUCACACCUCUACCUUCAAAAUUCUUGUGGGAGCAUUACUGUCAUUACAGAAGCAGCACACACUUUCUUUCACCAGUAUCCACCUCCCCAACUCAGCCAGCAGCAGGCAGUUUUGCCACAUUGUCCUCAAGAUGACUAGAAGCAGAUGGAGGGGGGCACAGAGUCGCCUUCAUCUUCCAUCUGGCACUGCCUACUUUUAGCUCCACACCUCCCUGGGAGGAUUUUUGGUCUCCUGCUCAGCACUGCUUGCUGUGCUGGAGCCAUUCAUGUGGACUGCUGCCCCCAGCACAUCAUGCCCUGCAUGCAGCCCAGCCCUGAAAAUUUCCAGGCCUUCUAUGGAAAUUUUUAUGUUAAAAAUAAAAGCAGGUGAUGUACUGAAGACUGCCAUGCGUGCUGUAUUUAUGCAGCACAUAAAAAGUUAUAGGAAUUUUUGGUAGCUUUAAUAAAAUAUAUUUGAAUACAUGUGAUUGUGGUGCAAUAUAAGAGAAGAAAAAGCAAAGUCUUCUCAGAGGGAGAAUCCUGCAGAAAAGAACUGUUUUGGCCACUAUAAAUGCAGGCCUACUGCCCUAUCCAACAAGCAAAGAGCUCAUCCAGCUUACACAUACAGACAUAGAUUUUACAAAUACUCCCAUAAUCUUAAGUUUACAAUAACAGGAUUGGAUGUAUAGCUGGGAUUCAGCAAACUACAUUGGUCUUGAAAGGCCACAUUUUAUUUCACUACCGUAGUGUCAGUGAAUUCAUUUGAACAAACUUUUAGUGAGGACACCUGACAACUCAUUAUUUAUUCACUGCUUUAUAUCUCAUUUACCCAUUUAUAAACUUUUUUGGAAAAACUUUGUGUUGGUUAGUGCUUGCUGAAGACGAGUUCUCAUUAAGGCUAAAUGGUGAUAAAAGCAUGCACACUUCUAUAUUUUUUUCAUGGUCCAAUGGAAACUCAGACAAUAAGAAUAGAGAAGAUAACAGAUACACAUGGGUGGAAGCCGCAUUCCUUCAGGAGCAAACCCAGAGAUACUUCCUUAUGAAGUCAUUUACAGUUCAGAACAUCAGAAGCAGGGGAAAAGAAACAGCAAAAAAAGUCCCUCAGUCAUAAAAUAUGUAAAGACCUUUUGAAACGACCUCAGAAAUGACAAAAAGCCCCCGCUGUAACUCUUCAGAUGUUUAUGAGCAAGACUACAUGAUAUGAUUGACUGUGCUAGCAGGCAACUCGAUCUGAUGACCUGCAAAGGGCUUUCCAGCCUUCUGACCUGUGUUACUGCCUUUAUUGAUUAUCUGUGGCUAGUAAUAGGUUUAAAUUUUGAUUACCACAGUGUUUGACAUACAUGGUACUUGUAUUGUAUUUCUAUAGACUAAUUAACAGGUGCAGUUCUUCAAGGAGAUAAAUGGACAGGACCAAAACCUUUUCUACUUAUAUGAGUGGAGAAGACUGUGGAUGCUACUCUGUUUUUCCCCAUGGAAAUAAUUAUUCUAGAUACAGAGGAUGCACGUAGUGCCACAAAAAAAGGCAGAACAUUCAUGAAAUCUGGAUCCAAAGUUUGAUAUGGCUUUCAGUGUCUUUGUCAGGACUCAAUUUCAUACAAAGUCCAGAUUCAGAAUCCUUUUUUACAUGGAGUUUUGUUAUUUUUACAUAGAUUUGUGAUAGUACUGUUUCUGCAUAUCAAAGUAGUUUCAGAGUGGUGUCAUCCCACUGAUUUAACAGACUGUAAGGUUAAGUUUAGCUUAGGUUCUUUUAAGCAUCACUGUGCUC